rnacentral:ncRNA from 1 species
UUGCGCCUCUGGGCCUAAUCAAGACCCAUUGACUCGCGCACAUGUUAGACUUCUUGGUCCGUGUUCAAGGAGCACCAACGACCCGUCCUGUCCGAUUUAUCUCGGUUGGGCGGAGUAUGAGCGGGAUAUAAUAUAUACUAUGCCCGGGCAGGACGAGGCCAGAGGAAACUCUGGGGGAGGUCCGUAGCGGUUCUGACGUGCAAAUCGAUCGUCAGAUCCGGGCCUAGGAUCGAAAGACUAAUCGAACGAUCUAGUAGCUGG